AACGAACGCUGGCGGCAGGCUUAACACAUGCAAGUCGAACGGAUCCUUCGGGAUUAGUGGCAGACGGGUGAGUAACGCGUGGGAACGUACCCUUUGCUACGGAAUAACUCAGGGAAACUUGAGCUAAUACCGUAUGUGCCCUACGGGGGAAAGAUUUAUCGGCAAAGGAUCGGCCCGCGUUGGAUUAGCUAGUUGGUGGGGUAAUGGCCUACCAAGGCGACGAUCCAUAGCUGGUCUGGGAGGAUGAUCAGCCACACUGGGACUGAGACACGGCCCAGACUCCUACGGGAGGCAGCAGUGGGGAAUAUUGGACAAUGGGCGCAAGCCUGAUCCAGCCAUGCCGCGUGAGUGAUGAAGGUCUUAGGAUUGUAAAGCUCUUUCACCGGUGAAGAUAAUGACGGUAGCCGGAGAAGAAGCCCCGGCUAACUUCGUG
rnacentral:rRNA from 1 species